AGGGCGGGAGGUGGGUGGGGAGGUGAGCCCAUGGCUGGCCAGGGGCAGUGACCAAUGAUGCCAGUUUUCAGGGGAGCUAAUUAAGGCCAGAGAGAUUAGGAGGCUUGCAAAGUCACAGAUUCUGGAGCAAUGCCAACCCUGAAGGUCCAAGGACGUCAAUCACCUCCCCCCCAAGCCCCCACCACCAUGUACCCUGUGACCAGCACAAGGCCUUCCUCCACAGCCCCUCCUGUUGCCCUUGGGCAGGAGCCCAGGGCUUCUUCGUUCUCCAGCCCCACCCCUGGUGCCCUGAGCCAGAAGUCUUGGCAGCCCUCUCUGCUCCCCACAUCCCUAGAAAUCAGACCAAGACAUUUCCCUGCUUAGGACCCAAUCAGGGCCCCCUUGGCCCAAGGACAAAGUCCAAACUCCUCAGUGUGGCUCCCAAGGGCCCAAGAUCCAGCCCCACCCUGGCUGCUCUCACUCAGCUCUCCCUGACGUGCUUUCCAGAUGGAAAUUUCUGGAACGCAUAUAAUGGGCGUCUUGCCCCCAGCACUUUGCACAUGCUGUUCCCACUUUUCUGUGUGUGGCUAACUCUGACCCCCAAUAGGUCUUGUUCCUAGCCACCCUGAAAGGCCCAAAGUCCUCAAGCAUGACAGUCGUUGGCAGUGCCUGGCUCAGGCUGGUCUGGCACAGCAGAGACACUCAAUAGGACAAAGGGAAAGUUCAAAGGCCAACUCUUCCCAGGAAUGUGCAUAAGCCCCCAACCUACACUGGAACCCCAUGAAGUCUCGAGCACUCCUUUCCCAGGAAGGGCAGGCAAAGGCCCAAGUCCUCAGGGAUGCAAACUUACAGCCUGACAGAUACAUAAUGAUUCCAGGGAAGCUCAGGGCUUGGCGCUCCCUUAGCCGAGGACGAGCUGGGCCCAGCAUACUCCCUGCAGGAACCAGAGCUUACUCUGUGUUCCAUGGCAAGAGCCAAGCAACUUGAGCUAACCAUUCUCCAACCAACCCUGGCUCUCCAGGGCUUUCUCAAUCCUGCGUGUCUGCAUCCUGCCCACGCUGCUGCCCUGGGGACAGGCUGCUACCCCGUUUACGGGGAGGAUUCCGGACAGCCCAAGUGACACUGAACCUCACACCAGCCUCUCCUUGCAACCAGCAGGUCAGAGGGUGGACUACGCAGGAUGAGCCACAUGUCCAGUCUCCACUGGCUAUGGAGGUCGGCCGACCUUGCUCUGCAAACCCGUGGUUGCUUCCAGGUCCCAGAGAGGGACAAAGACCUACUGGCCCCUCGCUCAGUUACGUACUGCAGCAAUGGCUGCUAUAGUCACACUGGAGCUGCCCAGAGCCCUGCCGCCACAAGUGCAGUAGCCAAACCAGGAGGAAGGUUCUAGUGGAAGACCUCGCAUAAUAUACAUCACAAGAUGCAGGGCACAGAGCCUCACAGAACUAAAAACAGGUCCUGACACGCGUAGGAGGGAGAAGAGGACAAGCGGCUGUUUUGUGGGCAGGCGGGACGCAGAUGGGGAUACCGAGGCUGAAGAGACUGAGGAACUCGCUCGGCACUACAGAGCCAGUAAAGAGAACCCCACUGGCUGGAAGUCCGCUCAUUCCAAGCCCACGCCCCAAAGAGCAGCCCCGACUGGACCAAGAGUGAUUCUGCCAGGCAGUGGAGUAUCAACCUUGAUCCAUGGUGGCUACAUCUGAGCUGGUUUUUCAGAGAGAAUUCUUCAGAAAAGGAGAAAAAACAUCCCAGGGGGGGAAAAAUCUGUCAUUAUUACAAAUGUGAUGGCAUAUAAAAUAUGCAAUUUUUAAAAAUUCACCCACAUAAAGUCAGCUUUCAAGAUACUAAAAAAUAUUCUUUUCAUUUUGGGAACACAAAUCACAGUCCAUACAACACUGGGGCCUGCGUCUCGGCCUCCAGGAAGAUGACUCGGGUGGCAGUGCUUAGGUCCAGGAUCCAACGACAGCCCAUCCAGCAAGGUCAAAUGAAGGUUCUGGUCUGAGGGUCCCACAGAUGAGACACUCACUGCCUCGGAGAGGACGGAGCUUUACCACACCUUGCCCCAGCUUUGGAAUUCUCAGUCAGCCAUCCCCCCAGAAGCUCGCCACAGGGCAGUCUCAGCCUGCCCUCACACUCUCAACGCAGGGUGGCUGCUUCUCUACAUGGGGGGAACUGAAGGCCAGAAAUGGCCCUCAACCCCCACAGGACAGCUGCCAAGGAAAGGCUCGAGGGGGAUUCCCACAUCCCACCGCCUUUCCUGAGAAGAGCUGCCUAGGGGAGGUCCAGUGGCUGCAGGAAGCCAGGGCCAUGCCCACUUCCUGCACUGGCUUCCUGGUAAAAAGGAAGAAGGGAAACAUGGAGAAGGGUGGCUGCUCAAAGGACCACCAGCAAGCAGGCUGGGGCCCCCAGCCUAACCAACCUGAGGCUCUAGCCCUCUCAUCUGGAGUUCAUCUGUGCGAUGGUACCUGGGUGCCUGCGAGCAGAGAGCCAUGGAAAACCAGGAGGCUCCCACUCACGCACUGGGGCCAUGAGCCUCAGUCGCCUUUUACUGUUGCGAAGCCUCAGGCUUUCCUGAGCAAGCCUGUUUUCUUGUGUCCAAGACAGGAAUGUGGACCAGUGCAAUGACACACAUGGGUCGUCCUUCCAGAUCACCUGAGAGCGGACAGGACAAGGCCUGGAACGCGAGAAUGAGGACGGGUUCAGCGGUGAGCCGCGGAGAAGUAUAGCCAAGGCCCCUCUAGACAACGGACCAAUGACCAGAGUGGGAGGGACCUUCCCAGGGACACCACAGCAAGAUCCUGAGAAAGCCCACGAAAUUAAGCUGAAGCCUGUCAGCAGGGGCCCCACAGGGGUCCUCUUAUGGUGUGUGCAGCUCCUGCGCCCGUGCUGGCCUCUCCCUGCCCUGGAGAACCCAUGGCUUCCCUGAUUGUCACUGGCAGCGCCCUAUUCACAAAACAGCUGAAAGGACGUUUAAGACACAGAAGUGACCAACACCUGCUCCCAACACCCCCCCAACAGAAUCACAAGGCCAAGCCAGCUCCAGGAAGUAGCCCCUUCUGUUUCUCACUAGCCACGCCCAAUCCUGCCUUCUGACCUUUGUUCCUGCAGUUCCCUCGGCCUGGAGAAGGGCUGUCCUGGCCGGUGGCUGCUCACGUGUCACCUCUUAACUGGCUUGGCCAGGCCCUCAUAAUAACCUCAUCUAGGGGUUGAGAUUUCCACCUGGGCCACCCCCUGCUGCUUUCAUUAUAGGACACUGCCAGUCUCUAAUUAUCUUGUUUAUUAUGUCUCCCCGCCAGACUGGAAAACUCAAGAGGGUGUGGACUCUGUCCAGGGCCGAGCUCGGGGGCCAGGCACUCAAGAGGGACUCACUAAAUA